CCCUUGUCCUUCCGAAGCCUUCUCACCCUCACGUGGCGGCGUCCUAUUGUUGAGACAGUAGCCGGCUAACUGAAAUUCCGCCCGGCAACGGUGGCGAAGUAAGGGACAAAUCCCUUCAUCUCGCUUUCUGUUUAUCUUCCUAAGAUGAGGAUUUUGGUUGGCACCCUUGGAAGACACUUCUUUUUCUCUAGGCUGCUUCUUUUUUGUCCUCAAAGAAUCCGGUUUCUGCCCAGAAAGAAUUGUAUGAUAUCCAUCCCAGUUGGUUUCCCUUGGACCUCGCCACUUGCUGUGGGUAUUACUGAAAUUUUUGUCAAUUAUAAGUUAAUUGGAACCCAGACAUCUCUAGAUGAUGAGGCUGCAGAAGGAAACUUGAAUCAGAUUCUUGCUGCCAUUGAAGAUGCUCCAAGGUCCACUGAAGAAAUCUGUACUGCUUAUCUUGAUAAGCUAUGCAAAGCCGGAGAUAUUUCUAUUGCUGCCAGAUUGUUGCAAUUUUUGCGGAAUAAGAACAUCCUGCUUGGCCCUAAUGCUUAUAAUCUUGUUUUGGCAGCAGCAGGCAAAAAACCUGAGAUUGAAAUUUUGUCCCAAGUUUUCAAGGAUCAUGUAAUGUCUCGUGAUUCUUUGCCAUUGACUUCUUAUCUUACUCUUGCCAAGGGUUUUAUGGACACAAAUGAUCAUGUCUUGUUACUGAGACUUGUUAGAGAUGUAUCAGAGCUGACAUUUCCUAGAAGUACGAUGGUUAUGAAUAGAAUCAUCUUUGCCUUUGCUGAAUGUAGGCAGUUUGACAAAGCCCUGCUGAUAUAUGAUCAGAUAAAAGAUUUGAGGUGCAAGCCAGAUUUGAUCACGUAUAAUACUGUUUUGGAUAUUUUAGGUCGUGCAGGCCAGGUUGAUGAAAUGCUCCUUCAAUUUGGUUCUAUGAAGGAGGCAGGAAUUUCUCCAGAUUUCAUUUCUUACAAUACAUUAUUAAACCAGUUGCAGAAGGCUGGAAGGUUGGAUUUGUGUUUAGUGUACAUGAAGGAAAUGGGUGAGAGUGGAAUUGAACCAGAUUUGCUUACAUAUACUGCAUUAAUUCAGAGUUUUGGUCGAUCAGGGAAUAUUGAGGAGUCAUUGAAACUAUUUAGAGAGAUGAAGACAAAGCAGAUCCGUCCAUCAAUCUAUAUAUACCGAUCACUUAUCAAUAGUUUAAAGAAAAUGGGAAAGGUGGAGCUGGCUAUGGCCCUUUUGGAGGAGAUGAAAGCAUCUCUUCCAAAUCUGGCUGGUCCAAGGGAUUUCAAACGUAAAGGCAGGCGGUAAAGCACGCAAUGUUCUGUUAUUUUGGCACUGAGAGUAUGUACAAGUCAUGGAAAUCUUAGAAACUUCCUUCUAUUCUUAGUUAAACUUCUUUCUAUCUUAUCUUUUUCUAUUUUACAAAUUCUUUUUCCUGAUUAGAGUUUAAUUAUUCCACUUUUUUUCCAGCCUAUAAAUUUGGUAGUCAUUUGUGUUUAUGAUUCUCAGCUGUUCCAAUGGUGGAGAUGAUUUUAAGGCCUGCUAUCAGUGAAGGAAGUGUAGCUCAAACUUCAAAAGUAACAUGCAAGGAAACAUCAAAAGAUAGGGAUGCUGUAGCCGAAAAUGAAGUAAAGAAACAGGCCAGUUUACAGUCUCCUUAGUCCUUAUUUUGUCUCUUGUUUGCCUCAUGGAUUCUCUGGUUGAUGUUACUUGCUUGUGCCAAUGUCAGUUGCUGCUAUUCUGGGGUUCUUUGCUGCUGUUGAAUUGUUGGAUUAAACUAUGGCUUAUGCUGAGUUGUGAAUGGGUUAUUAGUAAUACUAUUAGUUGCUUAUUUGUAGUGUGGUUGAGAGUUUGGUUGAGUUUCAGAGACUUUCCCUUGUUUUCUGAACUCCUAUGAAAAUGGUUGCUAUUUGCUCCAAUUUUGAAAGCAAGGUAUGCUGAUUUUGCUGGGAUUGUGUUGGUAACAGAAAUGUGUGGACUGCAUCUGUUUUUGGGGCUGAAUUUUGAUCCUUGUUGUGGGCUUGAAUUUUAAAGGAGAUGAAGCAGUUUUGUGCAUUUUGAGUAUUUGAAUACAGUGCCUUGAAUUAAUGUGCUUGGUGCUCAGGAACUUGAUGGAAUAAGCUUUAGAUAUAUGUGGACCUGCACAUGGGAUUUGUUUGUGUUAUUGUAUUAAAACGUUCAAACUCAGAAACAGAGCUUUUUCUUGGCAUUGCUUAUCACGCAACCGUACUUUUUCAGACUGUUGUGAUAAACUCAUCCCUUAUUGCAUUUCCCAGUCAGGAAUUGAUAUAUUCAAUCAUUCAUGAACUCUCACCUGGAAUCUGAAGAAUAAAAUGAAUUUGG
rnacentral:misc_RNA from 1 species